AAAAUCAGAAUGAGGUCUUCGGAAAUUAGUCGGCCGCUUAGGAGAAGCAACCUUUAGCAUCGCGAGACGUCGCAAAAGAUGCCUUAAAGUUUAUUUCUUUCAAGCGAACGAAACCUCCAUCACAAAAAAGGCAUAUAUAUAUGCACACACUAACACUUAUUUUGCGCAAAAUAUUCAAAACAACGGCACGCUCCACCAAGUCCGAUGCUGAUCACAUCGAACUCACAAACGUCCUAAACAGACAUAGCCAUCUCACGGAGAUGACUCUCUUACAUCUGACACAAGGAUAAUAGCGCUAUAAAAGAAAUCUGAAAUUUUGGUCUAGCACUUCCGGUCUCCGGAGAGAUGCUCGGUUCGUAUCAAACAAUUCAUAUAAGCCGAGAACCUAUCGCGGACUUUACAUCGAUACGAAUCAGGAAGAAAUCGCGACAGGAAAAAACGAUAGCCGGUUAGUCACCGCACAA
rnacentral:lncRNA from 1 species